rnacentral:tRNA from 1 species
GUUUAAAUAGCUUAAUUUAGAGCAUGGUAUUGAAGAUACCAAGGUAGUUAAAGACUUUUAGAUA